GGGCGAAUGGUUUAGUGGUAUAAUACUCCCUUAGCAUGAGGCAACCUUAGGACGUCCGAUCCUAGAUAAUCAAUGCUGAAUUUGGGAGUGGUCCAGGGUUCGAUUCCCUGUUCGUCCA